rnacentral:rRNA from 1 species
GAUGAACGCUAGCUACAGGCUUAACACAUGCAAGUCGAGGGGCAGCACAGUGUAGCAAUACACGGGUGGCGACCGGCGCACGGGUGCGUAACACGUAUCCAAUCUGCCCGUUACUCGGGGAUAGCCUUCUGAAAGGAAGAUUAAUACCCGAUGGCAUGUAUUUCCGGCAUCGGAGAUGCAUUAAAGAUUUAUCGGUAACGGAUGAGGAUGUGUACGAUUAGCUAGUUGGCGGGGUAACGGCCCACCAAGGCGACGAUCGUUAGGGGUUCUGAGAGGAAGGUCCCCCACACUGGAACUGAGACACGGUCCAGACUCCUACGGGAGGCAGCAGUGAGGAAUAUUGGUCAAUGGUCGAGAGACUGAACCAGCCAAGUAGCGUGAAGGAUGACUGCCCUACGGGUUGUAAACUUCUUUUGUUUGGGAAUAAAGUGAGGCACGUGUGCCUUUUUGUAUGUACCUUACGAAUAAGCAUCGGCUAAUUCCGUGCCAGCAGCCGCAGUAACAC